rnacentral:sRNA from 1 species
UCUUGGUGUCUUCGAAAGCCUUCAGAGC